rnacentral:rRNA from 1 species
AUUGAACGCUGGCGGCAUGCCUUACACAUGCAAGUCGAACGGUAACAGGUCUUCGGAUGCUGACGAGUGGCGAACGGGUGAGUAAUACAUCGGAACGUGCCCGAUCGUGGGGGAUAACGAAGCGAAAGCUUUGCUAAUACCGCAUAAGAUCUACGGAUGAAAGCAGGGGACCGCAAGGCCUUGCGCGAACGGAGCGGCCGAUGGCAGAUUAGGUAGUUGGUGGGAUAAAAGCUUACCAAGCCGACGAUCUGUAGCUGGUCUGAGAGGACGACCAGCCACACUGGGACUGAGACACGGCCCAGACUCCUACGGGAGGCAGCAGUGGGGAAUUUUGGACAAUGGGCGAAAGCCUGAUCCAGCCAUGCCGCGUGCAGGAUGAAGGCCUUCGGGUUGUAAACUGCUUUUGUACGGAACGAAAAGACUCUUUCUAAUAAAGAGGGUCCAUGACGGUACCGUAAGAAUAAGCACCGGCUAACUACGUGCCAGCAGCCGCCGUAA